rnacentral:rRNA from 1 species
UUGAACGCUGGCGGCAUGCUUUACACAUGCAAGUCGAGCGGCAGCGCGGGGGCAACCCUGGCGGCGAGCGGCGAACGGGUGAGUAAUACAUCGGAACGUACCCAGUUGUGGGGGAUAGCCCGGCGAAAGCCGGAUUAAUACCGCAUAAGUCCUGAGGGAGAAAGCGGGGGACCGUAAGGCCUCGCGCGAUUGGAGCGGCCGAUGUUCGAUUAGCUAGUUGGUGGGGUAAAGGCCUACCAAGGCGACGAUCGAUAGCGGGUCUGAGAGGACGACCAGCCACACUGGAACUGAGACACGGUCCAGACUCCUACGGGAGGCAGCAGUGGGGAAUUUUGGACAAUGGGGGCAACCCUGAUCCAGCCAUGCCGCGUGAGUGAAGAAGGCCUUCGGGUUGUAAAACUCUUUCGGCAGGAACGAAACGGUGAGCUCUAACAUAGCUUGCUAAUGACGGUACCUGAAGAAGAAGCACCGGCUAACUACGU